CAGAAUGAUGCAAAACGGGAGCUGAUCCAGACUGAGCAGCAAAUGAAGAUGUGAAAGAACGGCCUGUACUUGAAGAGUCUGGAA
rnacentral:snoRNA from 1 species